rnacentral:rRNA from 1 species
GACGAACGCUGGCGGCGUGCCUAAUACAUGCAAGUAGAACGCUGAAGAGAGGAGCUUGCUCUUCUUGGAUGAGUUGCGAACGGGUGAGUAACGCGUAGGUAACCUGCCUUGUAGCGGGGGAUAACUAUUGGAAACGAUAGCUAAUACCGCAUAACAAUAGGUGACACAUGUCAUUUAUUUGAAAGGGGCAAUUGCUCCACUACAAGAUGGACCUGCGUUGUAUUAGCUAGUAGGUGAGGUAACGGCUCACCUAGGCGACGAUACAUAGCCGACCUGAGAGGGUGAUCGGCCACACUGGGACUGAGACACGGCCCAGACUCCUACGGGAGGCAGCAGUAGGGAAUCUUCGGCAAUGGGGGCAACCCUGACCGAGCAACGCCGCGUGAGUGAAGAAGGUUUUCGGAUCGUAAAGCUCUGUUGUAAGUCAAGAACGAGUGUGAGAGUGGAAAGUUCACACUGUGACGGUAGCUUACCAGAAAGGGACGGCUAACUACGU